AGAGUUUGAUCAUGGCUCAGAAUCAACGCUGGCGGCGCGCUUAACACAUGCAAGUCGAACGAGAAAGCGGGAGCAAUCCUGCAAGUACAGUGGCGUACGGGUGAGUAACACGUGGAUUAUCUGCCCUGGAGUGGGGAAUAACGCUGGGAAACCGGCGCUAAUACCGCAUAUUCCCGAGAGGGGAAAGCAGCAAUGCGCUCGAGGAGGAGUCCGCGGCUGAUUAGCUAGUUGGUAGGGUAACGGCCUACCAAGGCUUUGAUCGGUAGCCGGCCUGAGAGGGCACACGGCCACACUGGCACUGAAACACGGGCCAGACUCCUACGGGAGGCAGCAGUGGGGAAUCUUGCACAAUGGGGGCAACCCUGAUGCAGCGACGCCGCGUGAGCGAUGAAGCCCUUCGGGGUGUAAAGCUCUUUCGGCAGGGAAGAUGAUGACGGUACCUGCAGAAGCAGCUGCGGCUAACUACGUGCCAGCAGCCGCGGUAAUACGUAGGCAGCAAGCGUUGUUCGGAGUUACUGGGCGUAAAGGGUGUGUAGGCGGCCCCCUAAGUUUGGUGUGAAAUCUCCCGGCUCAACCGGGAGGGUGCGCCGAAGACUGGAGGGCUAGAGUGCGGGAUGGGAGAGUGGAAUUCCUGGUGUAGCGGUGAAAUGCGUAGAUAUCAGGAGGAACACCUGUGGUGUAGACGGCUCUCUGGACCGCAACUGACGCUGAAACACGAAAGCGUGGGUAGCAAACAGGAUUAGAUACCCUAGUAGUCC
rnacentral:rRNA from 1 species